rnacentral:misc_RNA from 1 species
GAUGAAGAACGCAGCAAAAUGCGAUAAGUAAUGUGAAUUGCAGAAUUCAGUGAAUCAUCGAAUCUUUGAACGCACAUUGCGCCCGCCAGUAUUCUGGCGGGCAUGCCUGUUCGAGCGUCAUUUCAACCCUCAAGCCCUCGGGUUUGGUGUUGGGGAUCGGCGAGCCUUUCUGGCAAGCCGGCCCCGAAAUCUAGUGGCGGUCUCGCUGCAGCCUCCAUUGCGUAGUAGUAAAACCCUCGCAACUGGAACGCGGCGCGGCCAAGCCGUUAAACCCCCACCUUCUGAAUGUUGACCUCGGAUCAGGUAGGAAUACCCGCUGAACUUAAGCAUAUCAAUAAGCGGAGGA